rnacentral:rRNA from 1 species
GAUGAACGCUGGCGGCGUGCCUAAUACAUGCAAGUCGAGCGAACAGACCAGGAGCUUGCUCCUCUGACGUUAGCGGCGGACGGGUGAGUAGCACGUGGAUAACCUACCUAUAAGACUGGGAUAACUUCGGGAAACCGGAGCUAAUACCGGAUAAUAUAUUGAACCGCAUGGUUCAAUAGUGAAAGACGGUUUUGCUGUCACUUAUAGAUGGAUCCGCGCCGCAUUAGCUAGUUGGUAAGGUAACGGCUUACCAAGGCAACGAUGCGUAGCCGACCUGAGAGGGUGAUCGGCCACACUGGAACUGAGACACGGUCCAGACUCCUACGGGAGGCAGCAGUAGGGAAUCUUCCGCAAUGGGCGAAAGCCUGACGGAGCAACGCCGCGUGAGUGAUGAAGGUCUUCGGAUCGUAAAACUCUGUUAUUAGGGAAGAACAAAUGUGUAAGUAACUAUGCACGUCUUGACGGUACCUAAUCAGAAAGCCACGGCUAACUACGUG